rnacentral:rRNA from 1 species
UACAGAGGGGGCCAGCGUUAUUCGGAAUUAUUGGGCGUAAAGCGCACGUAGGCGGACUACUAAGUCAGGGAUGAAAUCCCGGGGCUCAACCCCGGAACUGCCUUUGAUACUGAUAGUCUCGAGUCCGGAAGAGGUGAGUGGAAUUCCGAGUGUAGAGGUGAAAUUCGUAGAUAUUCGGAGGAACACCAGUGGCGAAGGCGGCUCACUGGUCCGGUACUGACGCUGAGGUGCGAAAGCGUGGGGAGCAAACAGG